CGUAGGUGGUUAGGUAAGCGAGAUGUGAAAGCCCCGGGCUUAACCUGGGAACGGCAUUUCGAACUGUCUGACUAGAGUAUGGUAGAGGGUAGUGGAAUUUCCUGUGUAGCGGUGAAAUGCGUAGAUAUAGGAAGGAACACCAGUGGCGAAGGCGGCUACCUGGACCAAUACUGACACUGAGGUGCGAAAGCGUGGGGAGCAAACA
rnacentral:rRNA from 1 species